AGGUAGCAUAAUAAAUAGUCUUUUAAUUGAAGUCUAGUAUGAAUGGUCGGACAUGAAGCAAGCUGUUUCAACUUUGACGUUUGAAUUUUACCUUUAAGUGAAAAGGCUUAAAUUAAAUGGUGGGACGAUAAGACCCUAUAAAGCUUUACAUUUUACUUCUCGGUUGUGGGAUCUAAGGUUUCUUAUUCUUAUUGAGUAGAAUGUUUCGUUGGGGCGACGGGAAUAUAAAAAGUAACUGUUUUUGUUUAAAAAAUACGUUUUUGUAGGUGAAUUGAUCCUUCUUUAAAGAUUAUAAGAUUUAAGUUACUUUAGGGAUAACAG
rnacentral:rRNA from 1 species